CGUGAAAACCUAGGGCUUAACCCGGGGCUUGCGGGCGAUACGGGCGGGCUAGAGUUCGGUAGGGGAGACUGGAAUUCCUGGUGUAGCGGUGAAAUGCGCAGAUAUCAGGAGGAACACCGGUGGCGAAGGCGGGUCUCUGGGCCGAUACUGACGCUGAGGAGCGAAAGCGUGGGGAGCGAACAG
rnacentral:rRNA from 1 species